rnacentral:lncRNA from 1 species
UCAUUUAUUUUGGAACUGACUAAAAAAAAAGUACCUCACUAAUUUGGAACGGAGAGAGUAUAUAUAUAUAUAUAUAUAUAUAUAUAUAUAUAUAUAUAUAUAUAUAUAUAUAUAUAUAUAUAUAUAUAUAUAUAUAUAUAUAUAUAUAUUCUAUUUUCACCUUACAAAGACACAAUCAACUUGAACGAGUAUAACUUAAUGGGAUUUAAGGCCGGUCCAUUUUGGCUAUAAAUUUAACCUGCGAUAUAUGGUUAUAACCGACACAUACCAUAGAUUGUCUUUAAUAGAUGAUCAUAUGAAUUUUUAACGAUGCUUCUUUUUUUUUUUUCCCUUCCCCCUCACGAUGUAAUGGCUCAUGAUAUGUUAAAUAUUUGACAGAAGACAGCUGCAGAAGAAGAAUAUGGUGGAUGGAAGGAGAGUGACUGCUGAGUAAUUAGCAGGGGGCGGAGCUAGAGUAUCGGGAGUGGGUUCGGCUGAACCCAGUAACUUUGUAUUUAGCUUAAAAAAUUCAUCAAUAUAUAUAAAUUAUUAAUUUAGAACCUAGUAACUUAAAACAAUUAAAAUCCCAAACUCAUAAGUUUUGAAAUCUCGAGUCGGCCUCUGGCAGUUAAUUCCUAUAUGUAUUUGCCAAAUUUUGUACACUUUGCUGUUGUAACGUAAAGAUGAAGAUAUUCACAACUUUUUCUUAUAUUUAUGCUAUGUUAAAGUGAUUGUUCGUUACUUAACAAAGCAAUUGAAGUUAUCU